rnacentral:rRNA from 1 species
AACGGAGGGUGCAAGCGUUGUUCGGAAUCAUUGGGCGUAAAACGCGAGGAGGAUGCCUACUAAGUCUGAUGUGAAAGCACGGGGCUCAACCCCUGAAGUGCAUUGGAUACUGGUUGGCUAGAGGGCGAGAGAGGGAAGUGGUAUUACUGGUGUAGGGGUGAAAUCCGUAGAUAUCAGGAGGAACAUCGGUGGUGAAGGCGGAUUCCGGGCACGUUUGUGACGCUCUGACGCGAAAGCGUGGGUAGCAUACAGG